ACUCAGCCACAUAGAUAGCGAUCAAAGAUCACAUUAUCUCAGCCACAGUCAUCAGAUGUUGCAGGUAAAAUCAUUUAUUCUACUUAUGUAAAAUUAAAAUUAUUGUACUAUCUUAUCUUAUUGUUGUAUUUGGAUACUAAUUAGGUAAUUCGAGUCAGUCAACUUCUAGACGAAGAGGUCGAGGCACGGCUCACGGUAUUG
rnacentral:lncRNA from 1 species